rnacentral:rRNA from 1 species
UGGGGAAUAUUGGGCAAUGGGCGAAAGCCUGAUCCAGCCAUGCCGCGUGUGUGAAGAAGGUCUUCGGAUUGUAAAGCACUUUAAGUUGGGAGGAAGGGCAGUUACCUAAUACGUGAUUGUUUUGACGUUACCGACAGAAUAAGCACCGGCUAACUCUGUGCCAGCAGCCGCGGUAAUACAGAGGGUGCAAGCGUUAAUCGGAAUUACUGGGCGUAAAGCGCGCGUAGGUGGUUAGUUAAGUUGGAUGUGAAAUCCCCGGGCUCAACCUGGGAACUGCAUUCAAAACUGACUGACUAGAGUAUGGUAGAGGGUGGUGGAAUUUCCUGUGUAGCGGUGAAAUGCGUAGAUAUAGGAAGGAACACCAGUGGCGAAGGCGACCACCUGGACUGAUACUGACACUGAGGUGCGAAAGCGUGGGGAGCAAACAGGAUUAGAUACCCCCGUAGUCCCUGAGCGGGCUGGCAAGGCGCAU